CAGUAGCCACGGGAAUACAGAGGGUGCUAGCGUUGUUCGGAAUUACUGGGCGUAAAGCGCACGUAGGCGGCUUGGUAAGUUAGAGGUGAAAGCCCGGAGCUCAACUCCGGAAUUGCCUUUAAGACUGCCGAGCUAGUAGGUGAGAGAGGUAAGUAGAAUUCCGAGUGUAGAGGUGAAAUUCGUAGAUAUUCGGAAGAACACCAGUGGCGAAGGCGGCUUACUGGCUCAUUCUAGACGCUGAGGUGCGAAAGCGUGGGGAGCAAACAGGAUUAGAUACCCGUGUAGUCCCUGUCUCUUAUAC
rnacentral:rRNA from 1 species